UUCUCUCCCCUAUCCCUUUCGUCAUCCCUCCCCCUACUCUGAUUCUCUCCUUCUUCCUCAUUGUCCUUUUCCCUCUACUAACCCACCCACCCUUCAAGCCCCUUGAUUUUGUCAUUUUCUUCCCAACCAAAAAUCUCAAUCUCAACCUCCAAGCAAAAUCCCAUCAAAGACCCAUUUUUGAAGAAUGAGCAGUAGAGUAGUUUCAGCAAGCAAAGCCUAGAUUGUGGUAGCCACAAUUGCCUUUGCUCUAUUCCUCUUCUCGCGCCACUACUAGUAAGUUUCUCUCCUUCUCUCAUUAUAUUAUUUUUUUGCUUAUCAAAAUGAUAGCUUUAACAAAUUUGGCAGAAAAAACAAUGACAGAAGUGACCUCCACAGCCUCGCAGGUAAACAAAAAUCCAUUUUAAAAACUGAAAAAAAAAGGCCUUUCUUUCACAUGAAAAUUUGAAAACCAUAGCUUUCUUCAAAUUUUGACAAAUAUGGUAAAGUUAACCCUUUUUUUGUUUUGAGACAAAAUGGAAUUCCUGAGCUUAACAUAGUUAGAGGAUUUUGUCAGGUUUCUAAGAUAUUAUUUUAUUCUCCAAUUCAAUUCAAAGGGAUCGUAGAGAAAGUAAAGCAAAUGGGGUUCAGUCCUGAGAGGUUUACUUUUAGUUUAACUGUUAUUGUUUUGGGUUCAAUGAGAAAAUCCACUUGGGAGACAAAGAUUGAUGUUUAUAAGAAAUAUGGUUGGUUUGAGGAAGAGGUUUUAUAUGCUUUUAAGAAUCAUCCCUCAAUAAUGGCAGCUUCUGAGGGUAGAAUUAAAACAUUUAUGGAUUUUUUGUGAAUGUAAUGGGAUUCAAGGCUUCAUUUGUUGCUAAAAAAGUUUAUUUUCCAGGAUUGAGCAUGGAGAAGAGGCUGUAAACAAUUAUAAAGCAGAAGGAAAGGGACUGUAAACUAUUGUUGAUUUAUGAGAGGGUUAGAGGGAAAGGGACGGUGGGAGAGAGGUAGAGAAGAGGAGUAAGGUGAGGGAUGGUGGGAAAGAGGGAGAGAGUCGGAGUAGGGGGUGGGACUGUGGAAAGGAGAGAAUCGAAGUAGGGGAGGAAUGGUGGGGAAGAAGGAAAGGGAUGGGAGAAUAGUGGUAGGGGGAGUGAGAUGGGAAGGGAGGGGUAGAGAAAGAUGUAAAAUGGCAGCUCCAUUGUGUCUGUAACGGAAAAUAGCAUAUUUUUUAUGUCUGUAACGAGAAAAUGUUUAGUAGUGACUAAUUUGUUAUUUUUUGAAAUUUUAGUGAUUGAGUUGAAAGUUGAGUGACUGUUUUGUCAUUGAGAUCUAGUUGAGUGACUGUUGGUGUACUUUAUCCUUAGAUUAAAGUGCAAUACAUAAGAUGCCCUUGAGUCUUCUAACAAUAAGUGAUAAAUACAACUAGGUAGAUUAGAACACAUACAUAAUAACUCAUUAAAUGAGGCUACACUAUAAGAAACAUAAGGUUGAUAACUAUUUCUCAAACGGGUCAACGCAUCUGCACAUUUGUUCCCUUCCUUGAAAAAUGUGCAUCAUAGAGCUAGAACUCAUAGAAUGGACGAGCAUCCUGCACUUAACAAUUAAAUGAGAUAAUAAUAAGUUAGAGUGUGAAGGGGCUUUCAUGAAAUGUAACAUAGAUGUAGUGUCAACUUCAAUCUCAAGAUUUUCAAUGUUAUGGUCUUUAGGUAAUAUUAGUCCAUCUCGUAGUGCCCAAAGUUCUGGUUCUACACUAGUCACAUUAGGGAUAUGACAGAAAGAACCAAUCACCAUACUUGAUGAUCAUGAGUAAACGUGCC
rnacentral:lncRNA from 1 species